UCGCCCCGCCCCUCUUAACCCUCGCCGGGCCGCAGCCUGCGGGUGCAGGGGAUCCAGGGCGGGCGGGGGGAGGAGGGGGGCGCAGUAAGGCGGCCGAAGUGCAGGUGGGGCUGGGGUGCGUGCAGGGGCGCGGGGUGCGGGCAGGGGCCGGGUGCGGGCAGGGGCCGGGUGCGGGCAGGGCCGCCUCUCACCCGGCUUCCCGCCUAGUGAGCGCACCUUGGACGCCUGCGGCUUUUCCGAGCCGAAGCUCACGGGCUGUGGCCGGCUUCGUUUCGUGUAGUGCAGCUCCGCGACCGCCCGUGGCCACACCAUUCGGGGACUUCGUGCUUUACGAUGGGGGCGCAGUGGCCUGGCACACGCAGCACCCCGGGCCUCGAACCCUCGCGCUGGCCGCCCUGGACCCGCACAGUCAGGGUACCUGCCCAUACCGAUGGGGUGGGGACCACCACGGAGCCUUUCCUUGGCCCCGCGGCUUCUGUUCCUUUCGAGACGGACAGCGCCCACCCGGAGGAAAGCCUGACAGACGAGACUUCGCAAGGUGUUGGAUUCCAGCUGCUGUGGCCCUGAAGGUGGGUGGUGGGAAGAACGGGAGAAUGAAGCCAGCCUUGGGAGAGGCAGGACGCCGGCCUGGCCCAGCUGCUUCCAGCAUCUGGAUCCAGCCUCACCUGAAGCCAGCUACCUCCUGGACUGCAAAGUCAUUGUCAACACCAAAACAGGGUUUCUGACCAUUGCAACCGAGGGUACCGGGAUGUCGUGGCUGCAGACCCUGCAGACUGCUAUGAAGCUAGUCCUGCCCGCCUUGCAUCAGACCUCUAGCCAGGGACUGUGGUUGCAGACUUAGUCCUGGGACUGAGCUCCUAGUGAGAGGCCAGCAGCGAGGGAAGAGGGACCAGCAGAGAAAAGGGUGGAGCCUCGGGCGGCCAGCAGAGCAGCAGAAACCGAGUCUGUGAGAGGAAAACAUUGCUUCCCGAGGCCUCCUGCUGAGCUAAGGGGAUCUGGGUAUUGCGAAGAACAGCUGGGGCCAACCCUAAGGAAGGAAGGAGGGAAGGGGACAGGGAGGGGCGAGGAGGAGGGGGAGGGAGUGACCUCUGCUUAGCGCCUGCACUUGGGCAGCGGUGGCCUUUCACACGCACAGGCUUCCCCGCCUGCAGCACCGUCUCCAAUGCUGUUUGUACACACGCUAGCAUCCUGAUAGUCACUAAAUGUUUUCUUUAAAUGAGUUCACUUUUUCACUUAGAGUGCUUUCUAAAAGCAGAUCAUGAUUGCAAAUAGUAAGUAUCACUUCCAUAAAUAGAAGGUGUCAGAAAAAUAACUAUCAGACGUUCUUGGUUUCUUGUUGUGCAUGGAAGCAUCAGACGGUCUCUGAAAGGCUGUCCCUCUGCUCCCCAGGUUGGCCCAUCCUCUGCCACAGCUUGAGCCCCACCCAGGGGGUCCCUGCUUGAGGAAGUGCUUCCCCUGUUCUCUCAGACCCUACUUCUGCCCCCAGAGGGGUGUCUGUCCAGGGGACCCCUCAGAGGUCCCACCCAGCCACUCCUGAUCUCCUCCCCACACAGGUGACGGGGCCACUGGGGCUCAUGGGCAGCCCUAGCCAGGGCUGAGUCCUCACUGUAGCAGGGAAGCUGCUGCCCUCUCGGCAGGCCGCCCUCUGGGAACCCCUCUUCUUUCCAACUGCCCCAGCCCCAGGAUGGACUGAACAUGCUUUUGCCUGGCAGGGGAAGGCUGGACCAGUAACAAUGGAAGUCUCCAGCAACAGUGGAGACACGGGGGCAGGGGAGCUUGCGGACGAGGUGUCCUCCUGGCCAUGGCCUUGAGGGAGCCUUGUGGCUGGCACGGGGCCUGCUGGGACGUGAGCAAGUGGGUCCCUGGGGACCUGGGGAAUGGCUUCGAUGCUUAGGAGCUGUGAGAACGAGAGCUCCAGGGCAGCAGCCACCGCUUCUCAUGGCCCCCAUGACCCUCAGCCCCUUUACGCUGGGAGCUAAGUGCCAGUUUCAGCAUCCUGGCACACACUUCUCCUUUAGGGCUCCCAGGAGCCACCCUUCCCUGCCCCUGUGGGUCUCCUGUUUCUCCAGCAGCAGUGACUGUUUUCUCUUCCAGAAACGUGUGCCCCUGUGAGCCCUUCACCACCUCUGGUCAUGCCUCCAAAAUUCCAGGGAGGGGACAGAGCCCCUGGUGGAGAGGCGGGUGCCCCCCCAGGGAGGGGACAGAGCCCCUGGUGGAGAGGCGGGUGCCCCCCCCAACACUGCUCUGCUGCUGCCAGGGAGGAGUGACCUUCAGUGGAUGCCCCAUUCUCACCAGAUCCUGGGCUCCGAGCCUGGGCCAAAUGCUGACCUCAGUGGGAUCCAGACCUGAAAGUUCCUCUCUGGGGUGACUUUCUCAAGUGCUCUCCUCAGACUCCCUGGGCUCUCGCAGGAUGGCGGGCCCAGUCCCUGCAGGUGCCUCAGCCCAACCACUGAAGCAGAUGGCACCGUGGCCCGGGCAUCUCUGUGGCUGGAGCUGGGGAAGGAGGUGGCCUCCUGGGUCCUAUCCCAAGAGCAUCCACAGCGGCGCUGCCAGUGAAGGGGUGGAGCUGAGGGACCCCACAGACCCCAGGGCUCGGUGGCUGCAAGAGCUGGGAGGAGCCUCAUCCUCCAGGGGCUUCAGGGAGGGUGGAGACGACUCUGUCCCAGCAGCUGUCCGUUUCCUGCAGUGCUGGCUGCUUGUUACAGUGAGACUGACAGGUAACCCACAGCUGAGCUUGUGCUUGCCAGAGCCUUCGUCCAGGUAACCCCCCAUCCUUUGGGCCUUUCUUUUUUUUUUUUUUGCUUUUUUUUUUUUUUGUAGAGACAGAGUCUCCUGUGUUGCCCAGGCUGGUCGCACACUCCUGGCCUCAAGUGAUUUUCCUGCCUUGGCCUUCCAAAGUGCUGGGAUUACAGGCAUGAGCCUGGCCUGCAGCAUUUUGAAGCAUGUCUCUAGGGCAGGUGGUCAGCAGACCAGAAGCCACAGCCCCACCACCCAGGCCUCUGUUUUCUCCCUGGUAGAGCAGGGAUGGAGCAGCCCCGGCUCCAGGGUCCCCCUGAGGAAGCCCAGCCCACUCCGUUCUGAGCAAUGGGGGUUGGGCAGUUUCUCCAGGUCCAAUGGUUCCGUUAGACCCAAGUGGGCUGUAGCACAGUGGACCCUCGGGACUCACAGCAGACCCUCAGCACUCAUGGUGGACCCUUGGGGCUCAUGGUGGACCCUCAGGUGCUCAGAUACUUUCCUCUUAGGAAAGGAGCUAUGCCUUGUGGUGACCAGGUCACAUAGGAAGGUGAGCCUAACCUGGAACCUGCCCCUUGACUACCUGACCCCUAGUACAGACGGGCAGCGAGUCAGCAGGUGAGGGGCAGCAGCCAAGCCCAAAGGGCCACUGACCACUGGCUGUCCUCUGGUGCAGAGGAAAACUGAGGCUUAGAGGGCCCAUGAGGCCAGGAAGUAGAGUCAGGUCCCACCGAGGGGCUUCUGCUGCCCCAAGACCCUGUGGAGGGCACCUGGAAGUGGAGGGACCUGCACGUGCCCCGUAUCCCCCCAGGGGCUUGCCAUCUUCCAGCCCUCCCAACGCCCAGGAGGCUGAGCCUUGGCAAGUUGGCAGCUUUUGCCUAAAAUGCAUCAAACUGAGCAGAAAGAGUGGUGAACAGAGUAGAAUCUGCUUGUUUCCAAGGAUCAGCGAGAAGGCACAUGUGAAGCUCACCCAGGUUCUGUCUGUUUCUGCUCUCGUAUAAAGACCCCAUAUGGAGCCAGUGACAACGAGGGCCAUGGGGAAGGCAGGAACCUGCCAGUUCAGGGAGGCCCAUCUUUCUAGAAGGUUAACAGGAACUUCCAGCCUCCAGCCUACUUAGUGACCGGCUGCUGGAGGACGGUGAGCGGCCCCUGCUGUCCACGUCUCCACGGGGGUCACCAAGCACACUCACAGGGUCCCCCUCUCCACCUGGAGCAGAGAAUUUGGAGGAGCCCGUCUUGCUGUCUUUUCUGAUGUUGUUAAACUAUGCUUGGGCCUGCCCGUUGCUCAGAGGAGCUUUCUACACAGCUGGACUUCUGAGGUGGGACCUGCCAUGUGCUAACGCCAGCACUCGGAGCAGUCUCUGCCACUGGCAACGUCCUGUCCUAAACAUCCCCAAUGUGACCUCUCUCCUGAAAGGCCUGUGUGCGACUUAUCUGUGAAGCUGGAAGAAAGUUCUGGAACUUCCCCUUCUCCUUUGGUGCAAAGUUACACUAACUGUCAUGA